GACGAACCGAGCGAACGUUAUUCGGAAUCAUUGGGCGUAAAGAGCGUGUAGGCGGCCCGAUAAGUCCGCUGUGAAAGUCCAGGGCUCAACCCUGGAAUGCCAGUGGAAACUGUCGGGCUAGAGUCCAGAAGAGGCGAGUGGAAUUCCUGGUGUAGCGGUGAAAUGCGCAGAUAUCAGGAGGAACACCAAUGGCGAAGGCAGCUCGCUGGGACGGUUACUGACGCUGAGACGCGAAAGCGUGGGGAGCGAACAGG
rnacentral:rRNA from 1 species